UACGUAGGUGGCAAGCGUUGUCCGGAAUUAUUGGGCGUAAAGCGCGCGCAGGCGGCCUCUUAAGUCUGAUGUGAAAGCCCCCGGCUCAACCGGGGAGGGCCAUUGGAAACUGGGAGGCUUGAGUAUAGGAGAGAAGAGUGGAAUUCCACGUGUAGCGGUGAAAUGCGUAGAGAUGUGGAGGAACACCAGUGGCGAAGGCGACUCUUUGGCCGUA
rnacentral:rRNA from 1 species